GACGAACGCUGGCGGCGCGCUUAACACAUGCAAGUCGAACGGAAAGGCCUGCUUUCCCUUGUGGAUUGCGGGUACUCGAGUGGCGAACGGGUGAGUAACACGUGAGUGAUCUGCCCCCAACUUGGGUAUAAGCCUGGGAAACUGGGUCUAAUUCCCGAUAGGACUGCAGGGUGGUGCCUGUGGUGGAAAACGAUUUUCUAGUGGUUGGGGAUGAGCUCGCGGCCUAUCAGCUUGUUGGUGGGGUAAUGGCCUACCAAGGCGGCGACGGGUAGCCGGCCUGAGAGGGUGGACGGCCACAUUGGGACUGAGAUACGGCCCAGACUCCUACGGGAGGCAGCAGAGGGGAAUAUUGCACAAUGGGCGGAAGCCUGAUGCAGCGACGCCGCGUGGGGGAUGACGGCCUUCGGGUUGUAAACUCCUUUCGACCGCGAGGAAGCCACCUGGUUGGAAGGGUGGUGACGGUAGUGGUAGAAGAAGCACCGGCUAACUACGUG
rnacentral:rRNA from 1 species